rnacentral:rRNA from 1 species
UAGAGUUUGAUCCUGGCUCAGAUUGAACGCUGGCGGCAUGCCUUACACAUGCAAGUCGAACGGCAGCACGGGGGCAACCCUGGUGGCGAGUGGCGAACGGGUGAGUAAUACAUCGGAACGUGUCCUGUCGUGGGGGAUAACCAGUCGAAAGAUUGGCUAAUACCGCAUGAGAUCGAGAGAUGAAAGCGGGGGACCGCAAGGCCUCGCGCGAUAGGAGCGGCCGAUGUCGGAUUAGCUAGUUGGUGGGGUAAAGGCCCACCAAGGCGACGAUCCGUAGCUGGUUUGAGAGAACGACCAGCCACACUGGGACUGAGACACGGCCCAGACUCCUACGGGAGGCAGCAGUGGGGAAUUUUGGACAAUGGGCGCAAGCCUGAUCCAGCCAUGCCGCGUGUGUGAAGAAGGCCUUCGGGUUGUAAAGCACUUUCGGACGGAACGAAAUCGCGCGGGUAAAUAAUCCGCGUGGAUGACGGUACCGUAAGAAGAAGCACCGGCUAACUACGUGCCAGCAGCCGCGGUAAUACGUAGGGUGCGAGCGUUAAUCGGAAUUACUGGGCGUAAAGGGUGCGCAGGCGGCUCCGCAUGUCAGGCGUGAAAUCCCCGAGCUUAACUUGGGAAUUGCGCUUGAAACUACGGGGCUAGAGUGUGGCAGAGGGAGGUGGAAUUCCACGUGUAGCGGUGAAAUGCGUAGAGAUGUGGAGGAACACCGAUGGCGAAGGCAGCCUCCUGGGCCAACACUGACGCUCAUGCACGAAAGCGUGGGGAGCAAACAGGAUUAGAUACCCCUGGUAGUCCACGCCCUAAACGAUGUCUA